rnacentral:rRNA from 1 species
GUUAGCUAUAUUUGGUUUAUAUAAGUAAUUAUCUUUAGUCUUAUCCAUUAAAGUUAAUUAUUUUAUUAAUUUACUGCUUGUUAGUUAGAUAAUGAACCUUCUAAAUACUUAACUGAGUAAUUUUACUCAGGCGGACUGUAUAGUAUCGACUUUGUCGAAUAAAGUUCUAGAUAUAAGACUGAUUAUGACAAUUUUAUUAUCUAUAUGUCUUGACCAAAUUACGUGCCAGCAGUCGCGGUAAUACGUAGAAGACUAGUGUUAUUCAUCUUUAGUAGGUUUAAAGGGUACCUAGACGGUAAAAUUAAUCUUAAAUAGGAUAUGUUUUUACUAGAGUUAUAUGUGAGGAGGGGAGUAUUUAUGGAGUAGAGUUGAAAUUUGUUGAUACCAUAACGACUGGUAGCGGCGAAAGCAACCUUUUAUGUAAUAACUGACGUUGAGGGACGAAGGCUCGGGUCACGAACAGGAUUAGAUACCCUAGUAGUCCAAGCAGAGAAUUAUGAAUGCCAUAGAUUAGAUGUUAUUUAGUCUAUAAAUGAAAAUGCAAGCAUUUCACCUCAAGAGUAAUGUGGCAACGCAGGAACUGAAAUCAUUAGACCGUUUCUGAAACCAGUAGUGAAGUAUGUUAUUUAAUUCGUAGGCACGCGAAAAACCUUACCACAAUUUGAAUAUUAUCUUUAUAAGAUAUUACAAGCGUUGCACGGCUGUCUUCAGUUAAUGUCGUGAGAUAUUGGUUAAUUCCUUUAAAUUAACGGAAGCUCUUGCUUUACUUGCUUUUUAUUAGGAUGGAUUUUACUUCUAUAAAUAAAAAGAA